AAUUCAAAAAACGAUUCAGUAUAGCGAAUAAUGAUAUUUUGGAAAUUUACGUUUCCAAAAUGGGCACCAUUCAAGAUGGCCACCUAAUAUUUCAAUAGUCCUCAGUUGAUAUUCUUUGUCAUAAGAUAAACGAAAGUUUAUCAAAAUUGGUAAAGUAAUAUAUUUUUCAUAUUUUUUCUAAUAAUUUUUAUCAAUUUUGGGACAUGAUUUCAAAAUGGCCGCCCA
rnacentral:lncRNA from 1 species